CACGUAGGGUGCGAGCGUUGUCCGGAAUUAUUGGGCGUAAAGAGCUCGUAGGCGGUGUGUCGCGUCGGCCGUGAAAACCUGUGGCUUAACCAUGGGCUUGCGGUCGAUACGGGCAUCACUGGAGUUCGGCAGGGGAGACUGGAAUUCCUGGUGUAGCGGUGAAAUGCGCAGAUAUCAGGAGGAACACCGGUGGCGAAGGCGGGUCUCUGGGCAGUAACUGACGCUGAGGAGCGAAAGCGUGGGGAGCGAACAGG
rnacentral:rRNA from 1 species